rnacentral:rRNA from 1 species
AUUGAACGCUGGCGGCAGGCCUAACACAUGCAAGUCGAGCGGCAGCGGGAAAGUAGCUUGCUACUUUUGCCGGCGAGCGGCGGACGGGUGAGUAAUGCCUGGGAAAUUGCCCAGUCGAGGGGGAUAACAGUUGGAAACGACUGCUAAUACCGCAUACGCCCUACGGGGGAAAGCAGGGGACCUUCGGGCCUUGCGCGAUUGGAUAUGCCCAGGUGGGAUUAGCUAGUUGGUGAGGUAAUGGCUCACCAAGGCGACGAUCCCUAGCUGGUCUGAGAGGAUGAGCAGCCACACUGGAACUGAGACACGGACCAGACUCCUACGGGAGGCAGCAGUGGGGAAUAUUGCACAAUGGGGAAAACCCUGAUGCAGCCAUGCCGCGUGUGUGAAGAAGGCCUUCGGGUUGUAAAGCACUUUCAGCGAGGAGGAAAGGUUGAUGCCUAAUACGUAUCAACUGUGACGUUACUCGCAGAAGAAGCACCGGCUAACUCCGUGCCAGCCGCCGCCGUAAAAC